GAGGAUUUUAGGGACGAAGCUCCUUAUAGCCGCACCCGUUCCGUCCCCGUCGUAGUAGUAGUAGUAGUAGUAGAAGUAGUAGUG
rnacentral:lncRNA from 1 species